GGGCCAGUGGUGUAGGUGGUGAAAGUUCUGGGCUUGUAACCCAGUGGUUGCAGGUUUGAUUCCCAGGAAGGUUCC